rnacentral:rRNA from 1 species
GACGAACCGAGCGAACGUUGUUCGGAAUCACUGGGCUUAAAGGGCGCGUAGGCGGCUUAACAAGUCACUUGUGAAAUCUCCGGGCUUAACUCGGAACGGCCAAGUGAAACUGUCAAGCUAGAGUGCAGAAGGGGCAAUCGGAAUUCUUGGUGUAGCGGUGAAAUGCGCAGAUAUCGGGAAGAACACCCGUGGCGAAGGCGGCUCUCUGGGACGGUACUGACGCUGAGACGCGAAAGCGUGGGGAGCGAACAGG